ACUCAAAUGAAUUGACGGGGGCUCACACAAGCGGUGGAGCAUGUGGCUUAAUUCGAGGCUACGCGAAGAACCUUAUCCUGGGCUUGACAUGUGCGAAAGCGGUGGAGAGUAGCCAGCGGAAACGUUUGGCCGACGGUAUCCAGUCCGGGUCCCACCACAGGUGCUGCAUGGCUGUCGUCAGCUCGUGUCGUGAGAUGUUGGGUUAAGUCCCCUAACGAGCGAAACCCCUGUCUCCAGUUGCCAGCGGGUCAUGCCGGGGACUCUGGAGAGACUGCCGGCGUCAAGCCGGAGGAAGGUGGGGAUGACGUCAAGUCCUCAUGGCCUUUAUGCCCAGGGCUGCACACGUGCUACAAUGGCGUGUACAGAGGGAUGCAAGCCCGCGAGGGGGAGCCAAUCCCAAAAAGCACGCCCCAGUUCAGAUCGAAGGCUGCAACUCGCCUUCGUGAAGGUGGAAUCGCUAGUAAUCGCGGGUCAGCAACACCGCGGUGAAUGUGUUCCUGAGCCUUGCACACACCGCCCGU
rnacentral:rRNA from 1 species